AGAACGAACGCUGGCGGCAGGCCUAACACAUGCAAGUCGAACGCGACCUUCGGGUCGAGUGGCGCACGGGUGAGUAACGCGUGGGAAUCUGCCCUGUGGUACGGAAUAACAUCGGGAAACUGAUGCUAAUACCGUAUAUCCCCUGAGGGGGAAAGAUUUAUCGCCAUGGGAGGAGCCCGCGUAGGAUUAGCUAGUUGGUGAGGUAACGGCUCACCAAGGCGACGAUCCUUAGCUGGUCUGAGAGGAUGAUCAGCCACACUGGGACUGAGAUACGGCCCAGACUCCUACGGGAGGCAGCAGUGGGGAAUAUUGGACAAUGGGGGAAACCCUGAUCCAGCCAUGCCGCGUGUGUGAUGAAGGCCUUCGGGUUGUAAAGCACUUUCGCACGUGACGAUGAUGACGGUACGUGAGAGAAGCCCGGCUAACUCGCGCCAGCAGCCG
rnacentral:rRNA from 1 species